GGAGCAGUGGCGCAGUGGUAGCGCACGCGAUUGCAGAAAGACUAACCUGUCGGAGCUUAAAAUCGUGCGGUCACCGGUUCGAUCCCGGUCUGCUCCU